AAAUUCUCUGGAAAAUGGCAGGUGAUGUUUUCAAUCCAAAUGGUAGGCAAGUCCAUUGAUAAUGUCCAUCCUGUGUGACAAAUCCUGUCUUUUGUCUGUCCUCAAUACGUAGUGGUAUAGACCAAAACGCGGAAUUUAUGUCCAGUGUGGUAAAAUAUUUACAAUUUCUUGCUUUAACAAUCAAGUCGCUUAUCAAUGGAAAUGGUUGUGCUUGUGGUAUGACUAUCUUGUUUAGUUCAUGAAAAUCAAUAGAGUCUCGAUUUUGUAUUUUCGUCUCUUUUAAAUGCCAAGGUAACUGGUGCUGCGAAUGGGCUGUAUGAUUCCUCAAUUAAGUUAUUUUUUAGUACCCACCUGUCUUUCUAUUUCUAUUUUGUCUUCUAAUGUGCGAUAUGGUCUUUUGCUACAGUACUUGUCCACCAUUAAGUCUAUCCGGGCUUCAUAAUCUGUUACUGUACCUACAUCAUAUUUUUCUUUGGCAAAUAUAGUAUUAUAAUUCUCUAUUAAAUUGUGUAUUCGGGACUUUUUGAUAUUGUCCAAGUGAUGUAGAUUUGUUAUGAAGUCAUUUUUAUUCACAUGCUCGUUAAAAUUGACUUUAAUUUCCUCUAUCUCUUCAAAUGCAUUCAUAGUAUUUAUCUCCCUCUUUGACUUUUGUAAAAUUUUUAAAUCUUCAUUUUGAGCUAAUUUAAAUUUUUUUAUCAUAUCUAGUCCUAUAAUGAAAUCUUCAAAAUCCAGUUUGCCUACAAUAAAAACAUCAACAUAUUCUUCUAUAUCAAAAAUCUUUACUUUUAUUCUUAUUAAACCUUUUGUGUAUGUCACACCAUUGACAGUUCUUAAUAAUAUUCUAUUUGUAUCCGCAGAAUCAUUCUGUGUUCUAACUAACCUUUUGUUUAUCAGAGACACUUGUGAGCCUGAAUCAUAUGUUCCAUUUAUUUGUAUUUUGUCUUCUAAUAACAUAUUUAUUUUUAUCAAUGGUGUGAUUACUCGUUUUUUGUCUCUUCGCUUAGAUUUACUUCUAUAACCGAAUUACUUCCAAUCCUUUUGUUAUCUGCCCCUUCUUUUUUAAACCAACAAGACUGUUCUGGGUGGUAUCGAUUACCCUUAUUUAAAUACUGACAGGUUUUGCAUGGUUUUUUUCCUAAACUGUAUUUCUUAUUGUCAUCUUUUUCUUCCUUUUUUAUUUUGAAGUUUUUAUUAUUUACCAAACUUUCACAUUUACUUAUUUCAUGAAGCAAUCUUGUUGAGGUUUCACACUUUUCAGGAUCAAUUCUGUUUCUAAUAAAUUCAGGUAAGCCGGCUGCUAUAAGUGUGACCAGACUUUUAACGCCAAUAUUUUCAUUCAUAUCUAAUAAUAACUAUUCUUUUCUAAUGGCGUAUUCCAUCAGUGAUCCUUCUUUAUAUUUGUAAAAUAUGGCAUACAUUCCCGAACUCCAUCCUUUAUCGGCAAAUGUGUCCAAAAAUUUAUUUUUCCACUCGGACCAUCCAGCCUCGAUUUUCAAAGUCUUCAAUGUUGCCGAGUGCCAAUCUGCACAUGUUUUGUCCAAAAAUAAUCUUAAUAUUUCUAUCUUUGUUGUAUCUUCCUCAAUCUCAAAUCGUUUACAUUCAUUCUCGAAUAUUUCUAUCCAUUGUUUCGCAUUUGAGAAUUUACAUACAAAUUUCUCAAUCAUGAAUCUUUCUGAUAUAUUUUUCAAAUUUAGUAGACCCUUUUUCUUCUAUGUGGAUUCUACAAUAUCUGUUUGUUUUUUUUCUUCUUUUAAAUAUAGGUCGUUAAACAUUAAAUUAUUAUCUUCAUCAAAAUAGGCUUGAAUCAUUUCUUCUGUACAUGUCAUCCAUAUUGUUCUUUCUUGACCUCUUUGAUUUAAAUUUUUUCUCACUCUUUUGUAGGUUUCUGUUUUUGUUAGUGCUAUGUGACGACUCGCGUAUUUAUCAGUCUCAGACAGUGUAUACUUUUUGUCAUCUUCUGUUGUAAUUGAGGUUAUGGCAAUUACACUCGUCUUAUUGUCAGUUUGUGAUGCUUCCAGCUUAAAUGCAAACUGCAAUUUUUGUGCCAUUAUAAACAAGUAUUGUCGUUUUAUAACUUAUAAGACAAUAGUUUGUAUUUCAAUUGCAAGAGGCUAAAUAAAACUUCUAUUUGUUUCUCUGUAAGAAAAGAAUGCAAUUUUAUUUAUCGAGUAGGUUACACACUGAUACAAUCCGUACAAGACUAACACAAUCUCACCUGUAAGUAAAGAAACGACAAUAAAAGUUUAUUGUUAUCACCACUCGAUGCAUAUAGCUUAACUAAGUAUGAAAUUAAUUAACAAAUAAGAUUAAAAUACAAUUCAACGAUCUCAGCAUAUUCGUCCUUUACAUCUUUGACAAUGGCAGCUAGCUUGACGUGACACGACGCGGCUCACUCACGAACUAGCAGUGCGCGCGAAUAUUCAAAUUAAAGAGAUCAUUCUCUUUACAUAUGUAUAUAAGAUUAUAUUUCUUUUUAUAUGGAAUUCUUCCAAAGUCUGUUAUAAUCUAAUGCUUGCUCAAUUGAAGCAAGCGGUCUAGCCAAAUUCUUGGAUUUCAUCUCUAUAAAAUAUGAUAGCGAAAAGUAAUAAUAUCUACCUUUUGUAAUAAAAAUCUUUUUAAUAUAGGUAUACCUAUUGGUAUCUAUGACACAAAAUUUAUCAUUAUACAUUGCCAAUGAAUGCAAUGCUUGGUUAAGAAUAUACCUUGUGUCAUUUUCUUCCUUAGGAGAAACUCUCUUACUCAACUAGGCUUUUAAUGUACUUAUAAAAAUUUAGAAUGUGGUAUGCGCCUAUAAUUGGGGUAGCACUUGGCUUGUGUUUGUGUUACAUUACUUGUAUUAGUGUCUACUUUGUUGGUGCAUAAAAUAAAUAAAUA